rnacentral:piRNA from 1 species
UGGUGAUACAGAGAAGGACAGGGUUAC